GAGGAUGAUGAUUACAUAUUUGUCGCUCCACUCUUAGGGUCCACAUUGCUGGAUCUAUGCUGAUUGACAUACUUAUGAAUCUGACUU
rfam:Triticum aestivum genome assembly, contig: Triticum_aestivum_CS42_TGACv1_scaffold_458393_5DS